ensembl:lncRNA
AUGAACUUUAAUAUGCUUCAUACAGAGGCACGAUGAAAAGAAAAAAUACCAUCUAAACUUUUCUAAAGACACAGUGAUGUACAGUGUGUUCAGACCCGUGACCCAUUUUCGUGUCACGACUCGACACACUUCCGCUGGAAAACUGGGUCACUGCUUCUCCUUCAGGCUCAGGGUCCAGCAGAGAGCUCUGGAAAGUUUAUGUUCACUGAUGGACUGGAGUGCUGUGGAUUACUUGUGGAUUAUUGUGAUGUUUUUAUCAGCUGUUUGGACUCUCAUUCUCAUGGCACCCAUUCACUGCAGAGCAUCCAUUGCUGAGACACUGAUGCAAUGCUACAUUUCUACAAAUCAGAUGAAGAAACAAACUCAUCUUCAUC